rnacentral:rRNA from 1 species
CCUACGGGAGGCAGCAGUGAGGAAUAUUGGUCAAUGGCCGCAGGGCUGAACCAGCCAAGUCGCGUGAGGGAUGACGGUCCUAUGGAUUGUAAACCUCUUUUGUCAGGGAGCAAAGGGCGCCACGCGUGGCGUUUUGAGAGUACCUGAAGAAAAAGCAUCGGCUAACUCCGUGCCAGCAGCCGCGGUAAUACGGAGGAUGCAAGCGUUAUCCGGAUUGAUUGGGUGUAAAGGGUGCGCAGGCGGAAUGUCAAGUCAGCGGUAAAAUGUCGGGGCUCAACCCCGUCGUGCCGUUGAAACUGGGGGUCUUGAGUGAGCGAGAAGUAUGCGGAAUGCGUGGUGUAGCGGUGAAAUGCAUAGAUAUCACGCAGAACUCCGAUUGCGAAGGCAGCAUACCGGCGCUCAACUGACGCUCAUGCACGAAAGCGUGGGUAUCGAACAGGAUUAGAUACCCUAGUAGUC